GCACCCAAGCAAGCUUCGGACAAAAAGGUAUACACCUCCAUUUUGUACGGGAAUGGGCCGGGUUACCAGAUCACCGGAGGAGGACGUCCUAAUUUGACCACAGAAGAGGCCGAAGGCAACACCUACCACCAACAAGCGGCUGUGCCUCUUUCUUCGGAAACCCACGGAGGUGAAGAUGUGGCCAUUAUGGCCAAGGGUCCAAUGGCACACCUCUUCCAUGGUGUGCAGGAACAGACGUACAUCGCUCACGUGAUGGCAUACGCUGCCUGUUUGGAACCAUACCAGGAUUGUGACCUGCCCUCUUCUAAUGUGGCCAGCUUCACCAAGCCCACGUUGAUGGCUCUGCCUCUUGUCAGCUUGCUUCUCUGGGCCUGCUAGCCUUCUGGAGAACAAUGGGCGCAUCCCGCUGUCUUCCUCAGAUCAGGAUAAUUCUCACUUCAUAAAGAACAGCCUCCGAGUUUUCCCUUCUAAGCCAAAGCUAUGAACCUUCUGUCUUGCCACCAGGCAGAUUGGAGCGUGGCUUCCACCUUAUUCAGUUGCUGCUAAUGUUCUGUUGCUAUAUCCAGCCUAGAACUAUUGGAUAGGUCUCUCUGGCUGCGGAGCCAAAGGUUGGGAGUUCAAUUCCCCACUGUGCUUCCUUGACAAGGGUUAGACUUGAUGAUCCAUAGGGCCCCUUCCAGCUCCGCAAUACUACGAUGGCGAUCACAAGAAAUCACAGAGAGCCACGGAGAUCGGCUGCCCCAUCAAAUUCUCUUUCCACGGAUUCAUCAAUACCUGAACAUCUUUUGGAAGCAGUGCCAAAUUCCAGCUGUUUUUGGACGGCCGGGAAGAGGCGAUGCCGUCAGUGGUUUGAAACCUGCCCCCUGCCUUUGGGAGAGGUUGAUUAUAAGAAGCCCAGUUAAUUAACAACACCCAUUUGCCCAUGCAGACAAAACAGCUCUGGCCUUUUAAUUCCAUAUAAUCAGCAACAGAAAAAUACAACGCAACAUUUCUGUACAAAGAGCCAACCACCCCUCUGGCUCAGAUGGCACCACUUGAUGGCCAAGAAAUGUACAUGAGAGGUUUUGGAGGCAGGAGAGGGUUCAGGGUAACACAAAGCUGUCCAUGUCUUGUUCUCCAGAGUCGCCCUGUGGUACUGAUGGGUGCCACCUCAGAGGAAGGAGGUUGGCUGGGCCACAGUAUGCCAGGGCCACAACAUGCCACCUCAUGGGUCUCUCUGUCUGCCCCUCAACAGCCACAGCUGUAUUAGCUCUCUCUCUCUCUCUCUCUCUCCAUCUCAGAGAAGUCUCCGGUACAUCCUUUCUGGGGCCAAGGAAGGUUUGAGGAUGUGCUGUGAUUGAAACCCAGAUCUAGGAUACACAACUACGAAAUUCUGAGGGAAUUCGGCAAAUCACCCUCCUUGUCUGUGGUGGUCCACACUCCCCUGUCCUUUAGAGCUGCCAGAAGGUGCAGGCCACCAGUUCUCUCUCCAUGGUAACGGCUGACCUAGUUUGGCAAUAGUAGGCCCUGGUGGCCUUGUCAGGCUGAUGUUUUUUGGGGGCAGAAUCAUGACCCAGAGUGGUUGGCAGAAGGGUCAAUGCAAAAAUACCAGUUCCUGAAAGAACCAGUCCAUAAAACCAUUCAAAUGGCUUUAGGGUGCUCCUCGUUGGCAAGGAGGGCCCAAUCCUGGUGGAUCAGUCAGGGCUUGUACACUUUACUAGAAACUGGAGCCCUGUCCCUUUCUGGUCGUGUGGGGAAAGAAUUUUAAGGUCCUAUUAGACCAUCAGUAUGGAAACUUGUUUUCAGAAAUCAGUGGCCCUCAUUGCCAAAUCCUCUAAAUCUCAGCGAAGUUGGUCUGAAGCAGGGUUAGAACGAAAUAAGCAACAUCCUGAACAGCAAACGUCUCACCUGGAACACACAGACAAGGUGUGUGUGUGUGCCGUACAACCAGAGUUUAGAAUGUUAUGAAAAAUGGCCUAAUGCAUUCGUGCUGAUUUUUUUCCCUUUAAAAACUUCUAAUGUGUCCCUACUGGUUGCAGCUGGGAAGGGUGAAUGUAUUCAUAAGGUAUUAUGCUUUAAUAAAUUUGAAUUAAAUUAUUUGUUGCUUUGUAGCAUUUCUUUCAACUGUAAACCACUAAGGAUUUUAAAAAAAAAAUUAGUUUUGAGCAGCCGGGAAAGGCUAAUAAAUAAAUAAGCAAACAAAUCCUUUAGGAACCCUUAAAAUAUUAAUUAAAAUGACCCAAAUGAGGUACAAAGUUUGGAGUACAGCGGUGCCUCGCUUGACGAUGUUAAUUCGUUCCCAUUGAAACGCAUUAAAA